ensembl:lncRNA
CCCUGUUUAUUUUUGUUUGUACUUAUAAUCACAUUUCUCUACAAUUACAUGAAAUAGCUCAUUCUGAUAUAAAACUUUCAUAGUUUGAAAUGUUUGGAGUAGGAAUUGAAGUUUGCUGUAUGUCUUACAAAUCUAUUUACAAAAGUGCUUUUUCUGUUGCUGUGAUAAAACACAAUGUCUAAGGCAGCUUAUAAAAGAGAUUAAUUUGGCUUAUGGUUCCAGAAAGGUAUGGGAUCACCAUGACAGUCAUGAAAUGUCACACAUGGCAGCUAAAGCAGGGUGAUCAGAGCUCACAUCCUCAUCCUAAAGCAUGAAGCAGAGAGUGUACACUAGAAAUGGUGUAUAGAUGUAAAUUCUCAAACCUACCCCAAGUGACAUAUUGCCUCCAACAGGACAGCAUUUUUUUAAGUCUUCCAGAAGGAUACUACCAGCUGAGGAUUGUACUUCAACCGUACACACUUGCUUUCUGUUACAUGAACCAAUUUAUGGUGAAGAAAAGCUUUAGCCCAGCUCGAAGAGAAUACGACAAGAGAAUGUAGCAUUAGAUACUCAUGUGUAUUCAAAAGAGCAUUUUCAUGUAUCUGCCAGAGAUGUAAUGAAGUAGGAUAAUCAGCAACCAACCGUCUAUCAGCAGCAUGACUUCAUUGGUAUGGAUGUGUACUUACUAUUACAUAUUCCAUGCUUCUACAUGGUCCCAUUACUUACCAUUUGGUACUUCUUCUUGAGUUCUGCCUUCUAAGAAAAUCAUCUCUAUUAUCUAGAGAUGCCAGAAACUGUAACAGCAAUAUGAUUUAUUUUUCAUAAAGCAUUUCUGUAUAUGUGUAAUGUGAUGACGGUUUUUUAGGUGGAAACUAGGUGACACCGCUGUAGGAUCUACUUUGGACAUCUUUAUCCAAUGAUCAUGUUCAAGAGGCCAGCAUUGCAUAGUGUAGACAUUUCCCACUGAGCCCAUCCCACCGAGUAAAAUUAGUUGAAACAUUACAUUAGUAAAAUAUUGCUUUUUCAGAUUGUAAACAGCACGUCUUUUUCCCCCCCACUAUUUUUGUGAGACUAAACUUGCCUUGAUGCUAAACUCUAUUGAAAUCAUGACCUGACUACUCGUGCACUGAUGCAUGAUGAUGCACUGUUGACUAUGCUAUCCAGUUGAUUGUAUGACAGACUGAAACAGAUGAAUGAGCUUUCCUUACCAUUCAGGAGUCAUGCAUUACUCAAUCACUGUGCAUGUAGUAACCUCACUGGAUGUAGUUUACAUUUAGGUGUUAUAAAGAACCUGCAGGUAAAGCCAGUUCCCGGGUCUAUGCCCUUAUGACUAGCUGCUCAGUGAACAGUGCUGAUAUGGGCCCAGGAUUAUGACUUCACAGCUGUUGUCUGCCUAUUCUCUUCCUAUUUAUUCAAUAUAGUACUGCACUUGAAGUUUUAGCUAAGGCAGUAAGACAACAAAAGGCAAUCAAGGGGAUAUGAAUUGGAAAGGAAGAAGAUAUCACUAUUUGAGGAUGCUGUGAUAAUAAAUACCUAAGUGACCUCAAAAAUUCUACCUGAGAACUCCUAGAGCUAUAAACAACUUCAGCAAAAUGGCUGGAUAUAAGAUUAACUCAAAUCAGUAGCCUUCCUUUAUACAAAUGAUAAGCAGGCUGAGAAAGAAAUUAUAGAAACAACACCCUUUACAAUAGCCACAAAUAAUAUAAAAUAUCUUAGUGUAGCUCUAGCCAUGCAAGUAAAAGAUCUAUAUGACAAGAACUUCAAGUCCCUGAAAAAAAAAAUCAAAAAGACCUCAGAAGAAAAAUCUUCCAUGCUCAUGGAAUAGUAGGGUUAUCAUAGUGACAAUCGCCGUGGGUAGAACCAGAAAAUAUCCUGAGGUAACCCAACCACAAAAGGACAUGCACGGUAUGUACUCACUGAUAAGAGUAUAUUUGCCAAAAAGUAAAGGAUACCCAUGAUACACCCCACAGACAGUAAGAAGUUUAUCAGAAAGGAAGGCCCAAAUGAGGAUGUUUCAAUCUCACUUAGAAGGGGGAACAAAAUAAUCCCAGGAGGAAGAGGGAGGGAGGGACCUGGCAGGAGAAGGGGUAAAGAGGGGCAGGAUUAGGUAGGUAUAGGGGGAGAAAGGAGAGAAGCCCAGAGGGCCAGGAAAAUGAAGAAAAACAUUCGACUGAAAGGAUUAGAAGGUGGGGAUACAUCUGAAAACCAGAGACCUGGGAUGUGAGAAUUUCCUAGGACUCAAUGGUGGUGACCUUAGCCAAAAUGCCCAACUGUGGAGACGAAGAACCUUUGUUGACCACCUCCAGUAGUUAAACAGGGUCCCCAGUGGAGGGAUGGGGACACCAACCCACCUUCUGAAUUUUAGGCCCAGAAUUGCUCCUGUCUAAUAGAAAUUCAGAAACAAAAAUGGAACAGAAACUGAAGGAAAGGGUAUCAGGUAACAGGCCCAACUUAGGAUCCAUUACAUCUCUGGGCACCAAACCCUGACACUAUUACUGAUGCUAUGUUGUACUUGCAGAAAGGAGCCUAGCAUGGCUGUCCUCUGAGAGGCUCUACUUGCAGCUGACUGAGACAGAUGCAGAUUCUUACAGCCAACCAUUGGAAUGAAGUCGGGGACCAUGAUGGAAAAGUUAGGGAAAAGAUUGCUGGAACUGAAGGGGAUGGCAACCCUAUAGGAAGUCCAACAAUGUCAACUAGCCUGGACCCCUGGGAGCUCCCAGAGACUAAGCCACCAACCGAAGAGGAUACACAGGCUGGUCCAAAGGUCCCUGGCAUGUAUCUAGCAGGGGACUAUCUUGUCUGGCCUCAUUUGGAGGGGAUGUGCCUAAUUCUGUAUAAACUUAUGCCCCGGGGUAGUGGGAUGUGGAAG